GAGAAGUACAUGGUCAGAGACAAAAGCCAUGGCUUUCCUGCCUGAAGUUUAGGAGGACUUGAGGAAAAAGCAAUUUGAAUUUACCUUCUACCAAGCUAUCAAAGUGUUUGCCUAAUUCUUUAUCUCAUUUCAUCCCCAUCAUGAGCCCUCAAUACAGGGCAACAGCAUACAGCAGGCCCCCCUCAUCCGUGGUUUCGUCUUCAACGGUUUCAGUUACUCGCGGUCAACCUCGAUCUGGAAGCAGAUGAUCCUCCUACUGGCACCGUCAGAAUGUCGAAAGCAGCCUCGCUCCUCGUCACGAAGCCUGUGUCAUUGCCCUCGCCUCAUCUCAUCAUGUGGGCCUUUCUCAUCUUAACCACGACACAGGAAGAAGGGGACACUGCUUUGGGAAGAGGAUCCAGCAUGGAUAUCUGGAACUUGAAGCACCUGACCACAUGCCUAUGCUCUCCAGAGACUGGAGCUCAGGAAAUCGGACCGGACAACGUGGAGAAUUCUACAGGUAAAAAGUGUGAGGAAUUCGCUGAUGGCGUUCAGCCCUCUCAUUUCACAGAUAAAGAGACUGAGGUUCAGAGAGGCUGUAGCCACUCAGAUUAGAGACACGCUAAAGUCAGGCUCCAGGCCCGCGGCUUACUCUUCUGCUCCAGCCUGCCCACAGCCAUUGCCCAACGGCUCACCAAAGCUAGGUUCAUGAAGAACCACCUGGGCAGCUUGUUGAAACUAGGAACCUGGUGAUCCGGGGACGCCUGAGUGACUCAGUCGUUCAGUGUCUGCCUUUGGCUUAGGUUGUGUUCCCGGGGUCCUCAUGCAGGAUGGAGUCCUGCAUGAGGAUCCCCUGCAGGGAGCCUGUUUCUCCCUCUGUCUAUGUCUCUGCCUCUCUCUGUGUGUCUCUCAUGAAUAAAUUUAAAAUUUUAAAAAAAGGAACCUGGUGAUCUGGAUUCUUUCUGAGCUCCCUGGGUGAUUCUCCUUCAGCCUCUCCACUGGGAACCAGUACUCUGCGCCAUGAAGGAUGCUCAUAAAUCAUCAGGACACACCUAAUGCCUGCUUUGUGACUUUGGGGAUAUUACUUUCCUUCUCUGAACCUCAUCAGCUAAAGGGAAUAACAAUAAUAACCCGUGCUCAGCAUUGUCGUGAUAAUAAAUUGAAUUAACACACAACUGACACAAUAUCUCACCUCCUUCACUCUCCAUUUCCCUCACUCUGCUCCAACUACAGCAGCCUCCUAGCUAUUCCUUGAAUACACCAUGCCUGUUCCUGCCCCAGGGCCUUUGUACUUAUUGUCCCCUCUGCCCAGCACUUUUGUCGCCCAGGUAGUCCCAAAUUCCCUCUCUCAGCAUCUUCUGGGCUUGCUCAAAUGUCACCAGAUCAAAGACCCCUGCUGAUCAGCCCUUCUCCGGAUUUAUUUUUUACCACCUAGAUUAUGUUUUGUUUCUUACUUCUUGGCUUAUUCUGUUUCUCCCACAAUAUGGUGAGCUUCCUCAGGACAAGGACUCAGUUUGCCUCAUCUAAUGCCAUAGCAUCCAGAACAGCAUCUAGAAAAUAGUGCCUGGCACUCAAUAAAUAUGAUUGAUUGAAUGUAUGAAAAUAAAAUACUUGAAACUGUGCUGGGUACAUCAUAGGUGUCUGAUAGAUGAAGGUAUUAUUCUCAUUCACAUUUGCACCAACACUGGACAUGGUAAAGACCAAAUAUGAGGCAUGGCUCAGGCUCCCAAGGGUGGAAAAAGAGGGAAAGGAUGCACUUAACAGGCUGAAGUAGGCUCAUGUGAUCUGUGUGACCUCAGGUAAGUGUGUCGAUGUGUCUGCGUCCUAGUUUCCUAUCUGAUCAGAUGGGGAUGCUGUACUUGUUCUGUGUUUGGCAUUUCUGGGAAGGGUUUCCGGGUGCUAUGUCUCCGCUGAUAUUUUGGCUCUCAUCUCAGAAGCAGACAGGAACCCAAGGACAGAUGCCUGAGUGAGGUCACGACUUAGGGAUCUAAUGUCACCCUGACAUGGGAGCAGAGUUGUCACCUGCCUUGGCGGUGCAGACACAAGGACGGUUGCCUCACCAACAGGAGGACGUGCUGGGAGCUCCUGACAGGUGGGAAGAGGCCUCCAGAUGGCCCCCUCUCUGUCACCACCUCCUCACACCCAGCUUCUGUUGACUCAGGGAGCCAGGAGAUCCUGCUGAUAAGGUACAGGCCCUGCCGGGCUAAGCUGACAGGGUGACCUCCCACUGCUGCUGUCUACCCUGGGGGUCUGCCCACCCUGGGUCUGCCUACACUGGGGGACAGCUUCAAGAACAUUUUUCUCCCUGGGUUCAGGGGCUUAUGCGGAGCCUGGAGGUGCCUUCAGGGACUGAAGACUGGUCUGGUACUUCCCCCAUUCCUGGCUCAUAACAUGUAUUCAGAUUACACAAAUGAAUAAAUGAAUGAAUGAUGAACAAAUGAGCAAGGGUCUCAGACUUCACCCCCCAGGCCUGGGUCUCAGGCUACGUCUGCUUCUUCCCCACUGUGGGAAAAGCCAGCAGCUCAACAAGGACACUUCUGAGCACCAAUUGUAUGCUGGAAGGGUCCUGAGUGUGGAGCAUCCACUUCCUCCCCAUGGGAGCUCAUGGCCUAGUGAGGAUACAGCACAGAGGCUGCUUUUCAAUACAACCAGCACUCGUGAAGAUAGAGCUUUGUUCAGGUGGGGAAGCACAGAAGGGGCGUGUUGUGGAGGGUUUCUGGGAAGGGGUGACACAGAU